rnacentral:rRNA from 1 species
GAUGAACGCUGGCGGCGUGCUUAACACAUGCAAGUCGAACGGAAAGGCUCCUGCUUGCAGGGGUACUCGAGUGGCGAACGGGUGAGUAACACGUGGGUGAUCUGCCCUGCACUUCGGGAUAAGCCUGGGAAACUGGGUCUAAUACCGGAUAGGACGAUGGUUUGGAUGCCAUUGUGGAAAGUUUUUUCGGUGUGGGAUGAGCUCGCGGCCUAUCAGCUUGUUGGUGGGGUAAUGGCCUACCAAGGCGUCGACGGGUAGCCGGCCUGGGAGGGUGUACGGCCACAUUGGGACUGAGGUACGGCCCAGACUCCUACGGGAGGCAGCAGUGGGGAAUAUUGCACAAUGGGCGCAAGCCUGAUGCAGCGACGCCGCGUGGGGGAUGACGGCCUUCGGGUUGUAAACUCCUUUCGCUAGGGACGAAGCGCAAGUGACGGUACCUGGAGAAGAAGCACCGGCUAACUACGUG